UACAGAGGGUGCUAGCGUUGUUCGGAGUUACUGGGCGUAAAGGGUGUGUAGGCGGUUGUUUAAGUUUGGUGUGAAAUCUCCCGGCUCAACUGGGAGGGUGCGCCGAAUACUGAAUGACUUGGAGUGCGGGAGAGGAGAGUGGAAUUCCUGGUGUAGCGGUGAAAUGCGUAGAUAUCAGGAGGAACACCGGUGGUGUAGACGGCUCUCUGGACCGUAACUGACGCUGAGACACGAAAGCGUGGGUAGCAAGCAGG
rnacentral:rRNA from 1 species